rnacentral:siRNA from 1 species
UCCCCGGCAACGGCGCCA